rnacentral:rRNA from 1 species
ACACUCCUGCGGGAGGCAGCAGUGGGGAAUAUUGCACAAUGGGCGCAAGCCUGAUGCAGCCAUGCCGCGUGUAUGAAGAAGGCCUUCGGGUUGUAAAGUACUUUCAGCGGGGAGGAAGGCAAUACGGUUAAUAACCGUGUUGAUUGACGUUACCCGCAGAAGAAGCACCGGCUAACUCCGUGCCAGCAGCCGCGGUAAUACGGAGGGUGCAAGCGUUAAUCGGAAUUACUGGGCGUAAAGCGCACGCAGGCGGUCUGUCAAGUCGGAUGUGAAAUCCCCGGGCUCAACCUGGGAACUGCAUUCGAAACUGGCAGGCUUGAGUCUUGUAGAGGGGGGUAGAAUUCCAGGUGUAGCGGUGAAAUGCGUAGAGAUCUGGAGGAAUACCGGUGGCGAAGGCGGCCCCCUGGACAAAGACUGACGCUCAGGUGCGAAAGCGUGGGGAGCAAACAGGAUUAGAUACCCGUGUAGUCCCAUGA